rnacentral:rRNA from 1 species
AGAGUUUGAUCCUGGCUCAGGACGAACGCUGGCGGCGUGCUUAACACAUGCAAGUCACGGGGGCCCGCAAGGGCAACCGGCGAACGGGUGCGUAACACGUGAGCAAUCUGCCGAUUUCUGGGGGAUAGCCGGCCCAACGGCCGGGUAAUACCGCAUACGCUCUCUGGGGGACAUCCCCUGGAGAGGAAACCUCCGGGGGAAAUCGAGGAGCUCGCGGCCUAUCAGCUAGUUGGUAAGGUCAUGGCUUACCAAGGCGACGACGGGUAGCUGGUCUGAGAGGAUGGCCAGCCACAUUGGGACUGAGAAACGGCCCAGACUCCUACGGGAGGCAGCAGUGGGGAAUCUUGCGCAAUGGCCGAAAGGCUGACGCAGCGACGCCGCGUGUGGGAGGAAGCUCUUCGGGGUGUAAACCACUGUUGCCCGGGACGAAACCCGCUUUUCGAGGCGGUUGACGGUACCGGGUGAGGAAGCACCGGCUAACUCUGUGCCAGCAGCCGCGGUAAUACAGAGGGUGCGAGCGUUGUCCGGAAUCACUGGGCGUAAAGGGCGCGUAGGUGGCGGGAUAAGUGUGUGGUGAAAGCUCGGGGCUCAACCCCGAGUCUGCCAUGCAGACUGUCUUGCUUGAGCAUAGUAGAGGCAGGUGGAAUUCCGGGUGUAGCGGUGGAAUGCGUAGAGAUCCGGAAGAACAUCGGUGGCGAAGGCGGCCUGCUGGGCUAUUGCUGACACUGAUGCGCGACAGCGUGGGGAGCAAACAGGAUUAGAUACCCUGGUAGUCCACGCCGUAAACGAUGGGCACUAGUGCUUGGGGGAGCGACCCCUUGAGUGCCGGCGCUAACGCAUGAAGUGCCCCGCCUGGGGAGUACGGCCGCAAGGC